CUUGACACUGAACAUUGAGCCUUGAUGUGUAGGAUAGGUGGGAGGCUUUGAAGCGUGGACGCCAGUCUGCGUGGAGCCAACCUUGAAAUACCACCCUUUAAUGUUUGAUGUUCUAACGUUGGCCCCUUAUCGGGGUUGCGGACAGUGUCUGGUGGGUAGUUUGACUGGGGCGGUCUCCUCCCAAAGAGUAACGGAGGAGCACGAAGGUUAGCUAAUCCUGGUCGGACAUCAGGAGGUUAGUGCAAUGGCAUAAGC
rnacentral:rRNA from 1 species